GGGGGAUAUCACUGCAGGGCCGGCGUAUCGGUUCGCCCAAUGGCUUGAGCUGGUCCGUAAACGUAGCAGCAAGUACCGCUCUUCCGGAUUCCCUAGACGAGCUGAUAGCAUGCCAUUAAGUGCAGAAGAGUUGAGUCUUGAUCAGAUUGAUCCCCUACCAUCUGAGCCAACAACAGAAGUAAGUUUAUGGGAGAGACUUGGAAAAGCUGCGGUUUCGGACAUUGAAUCAAGCACCUUUUCGUGGAACAUGCUGUCUUCUCUUCACCACACGGAGCACAAUAGUAGUACUGAACAGUCCGAGGAUGAAACUAAUAAAGCAUUAGAG
rnacentral:misc_RNA from 1 species